AAGGGCACGAGCAUUUCCGGGAGCGCCCCCAGAGGCAGCCCCGCGGACACUGCCAAGCCCACCAACAGGGCCGUCAGCACCAGGGCCUGGAAGCCUGAACCGCAGUCCACAGCCCAGCAAUCCAGCCAAUCGGCUCUCGGGAGCGGGCCUGACGCGAGGGCCUCCGAAGCCACCUCCGUAGCCUCACAACUCCACCCCGGGCAAGCCCCGCCCCCGCAAGCGACAAGGAGGAGGAGGAGGCAGCGCGUCUUUAUUUGGCAGGUUUUGAGGCUGGAGGGGAAGGGCCGCCCGGCGGGAGACCAGGAGAUGGGCGGGUUGGGGCAACUGGGCGAGCCUGUGCCUGGCAGCGGCCCGGCCUAGCCGCGCUCGCAGAUGACCUCGACGACACUGGGUUCCAUGGGCACUGGGUCCGGGCAGCGCAGGGCGGCUGAGGCCACCACUUCAUCCAACAGUAGGUGCACAAGCUCCUCGUCGGCCACGAAGCGCCACAGGUAGAGCUGCAGGAAGUGACAGUCCACCUGCACCUGCUGCAAGCCGAAGCGCCCAAAGGUGCGCAGCCGCACACACUCCAGCAGCGUCUUCAGGCUGAUCUUGAUGAUGCCGGUCAGCACCGAUACCUGCAGGCAAGGAGAGGAGGCUGCUCUGGGACAGCAGGUGUUGGGGCUGAACACGUCGAUGCGUUCAGAGAACAGCUUCUGGAUGUUGCUCAAGAGAUUGGUGUCCAUCGGGGCACUGGAUGGGGGGAGACAAGCAGUCAGAGCCCACCCUGCACCCACAUCCUCCUUUGUCCAUUCCCCUGGGGUUACCCUGACCGGCCAGACCUGGGCGUGUAGCUGGGGGCGUAGCGGCCCUGCUGUCGAGAGCUGCUGUACACGGAGAAGGUCCUUUUGCUGGAGUCACUGCUCUGGGCCUUGCGGACACCCUCUUCGUACAGAAGACCCACCUGGUGGUGGAAGGAGGCACUCACUGUAAGGAGGCCAGAGCAAGGGGACCCUCUAGCCCACCAGGUGCCCAGGGUGAGGGCCAAGGACACUCUAAAUUACAAACUCUGGGGAGCCUGGGUGGCUCAGCGGAUUAAGCUUCUGACUUGGGGUUCGGGUCGUGAUCCCACAGUUUGUGGGUUCGGUCCCCACAUCAGACUCUCUGCUGUUGACACGGAGCCCCCUUCUGGUCCUCCCUCUGUCUGCCCCUCCCCCACUCACGCUCCGUCUCUCUCAAAAAUAAAUACGCAUUAAACAAAAGAAGAAUAAAAAUAAAUUACAAACUCA